rnacentral:rRNA from 1 species
ACGGGAGGCAGCAGUGGGGAAUAUUGCGCAGUGGGGGGAACCCUGACGCAGCAACGCCGCGUGAGUGAGGAAGUAUUUCGGUAUGUAAAGCUCUAUCAACGGGGACGAUAAUGACGGUACCCGAGUAAGAAGUCCCGGCUAACUACGUGCCAGCAGCCGCGGUAAUACGUAGGGGACAAGCGUUAUCCGGAUUUACUGGGUGUAAAGGGUGCGUAGGCAGCAAAGCAAGUCAGAAGUGAAAGCCCGCGGCUCAACUGCGGGACUGCUUUUGAAACUGUUUAGCUAGAGUACUGGAGGGGCAAGCGGAAUUCCUGGUGUAGCGGUGAAAUGCGUAGAUAUCAGGAAGAACACCGGAGGCGAAGGCGGCUUGCUGGACAGAGACUGACGCUGAGGCACGAAGGCGUGGGGAGCAAACAGGAUUAGAUACCCUGGUA